AAGUUUGACACUCUACGGAACUUAUCUGCCCUCCGAGCACCAUACCGAUUAGACAGUCUGGCACUUCAAAAACUCAUCGGAAGAAACAUGCGAGGAACUAGACAAUUGUUCCCAAACCUAGUUACUCAUCGUCCCUGGCAUUUGGACAUAAGGUAUUACUUUAGGCUUUUUUUCUUAAUUUUUUAGAAUAAACAUUUGAGGCUUUUUCUUAUUUUUUUCAUAUUAACAUUUGGGCCUUUUAUAAAUUGCUCUCUAAAUAUUUUUCUAGGUCUUUACAUAACUAAACAUUUCAAGGCCUUUCAUAAUCUUUUCUAUAAAAUAAUUUCAGGCAACCGGGCUUGAAUCCAACUAUAUAUAUAAAAGCCUUA
rnacentral:lncRNA from 1 species